CCCGAACGCGCCCGGCUCCUGUUUUUGGGGAGGUGCACCUGCUCUCUCCGUAAUGCGCAGGGGCUAGUUUGAUUUGAUUAAUUUUAUAAUGAAUGUUUUAGAAUGUUGUUAGCCGCCCUGAGCCCAGCUUCGGCAGGGGAGGGCGGGAUAUAAAUAAAAUUUAUUAUUAUUAUUAUUAUUAUUAUUAUUAUUAUUAUUAUUAUUAUUAUUUUGGAGGGGCGGGUGCGUCGUUCUGCCUUGGGGCUGUGCGCGCUCCCCGCGUGCGGUGUGUGUGUGUGUGUGCGCGCGCGCGUGUGUGUGCUGGACUAGAUGGCCUUUGGAUCUCUCUUUCCUGCCGCGCGGUUUCCCACCCGCCCCCAGGAAAAGGGGGGGGGAGCGAGGCCGACCCACGCGAGCGUGUGGGGCUGGGACGCCCGAGGCAGGAGGGACGGCAGCGGAGCCUGCUAGGAAAAGGGGAGUGGAGACAUGAACCCUGGCAGCCGGCUGCAGAAGCGCCCGAGCGGAUGGUCCGGACGGAGGGAGAAAAAAGGCCGGCGAGCGAGAACCUUCCUCCUUCUGCCCCGCUUGGGAGGGCCAUGAGGGAGAGGGUGACCUCCAGCCAAACUAGAGAGCAGCCCGGUCAGAGCUUGGCAUGGCUCCAAUGAGCCCCUGUGUGGCCACUUCUCUCUUUGCUGCCUACCUCUGCCUUUGGAGAGGGUAAGUGAUUCACUGAGGUGCGGUGCUGUGGUGGGGGGAAUGGAGCUGUCCCAGAAAUUACUGCCCCUGUCCUGGUGGGGAUGCUGAACAGCCAGGAGAAUGGCACUGGUGUGGUUAUGUGGGGCUAAUGAGGGUCCCUGGUGUGGAAGGGCAUUUAUCUGCCCAGUUGGCAUCGUGCUUGCUUCUUCAUUACUACAUCAGUGCGCAGCAAGCAAUAUGCCAAGGACAAACUGUACAGCUGUAGCCUCUCCCCAGUCAGCUUCCUCUGUCCCUGCUUUCCCACUGGAUUUUUAAAAUGUGAUGCCUGGAUUUUCCACGAAAGCAGUGAGUUUAGAGGGUUAAAGCUGAGGGAAGAUGUAGGCGGAACUCCUGGAACACAUUUCUGAUUAUCGCUGAGGACAUGUCUCUUCACUCUUUUUGGAUCCAGGGCCGCGUUUUAACCCAAACAUGCAUUUGGGGACCCAUUUCUUAUAUGCCAUCUACUUGUGUGAGGAUAGUGCUCCUGUUGUGCCCCAGCUGGGAUCAUGGCACAGCCCACCAGCUGAAGACCAGUAGCUCAGGAUGAGUUAAUGAUGGUCUGCCUGGAUUGUUUGUGAUUAUGAGCUGGUUCCGCAGGUAAUGCUAAGCCAAACUACAAACAGAGCUUGCAUGCCUGCAUAUUCACACUAAGACAUGGUUUGGCUCAGUAUUACAUGCAAACUAGCUCUGUGUAUGGGACCAAGAGUGGUAGUUACUCCAGAUUAAUCCACAGCAAGAAUUGUGUGCCAUGUGUUUUUAUAUGCAAGUUAAUGCUAGCUUUCACUAGAUUUAAGACCAACUUAGGUAUUAAGUUGGUUAAAAUAGAUGCCAUAGCAGCAUUGCCCAAGCUAGACCAGAGGUGAGGAACGUGUGGCCCUAUUGAUAUUUUUGGACUUUCAGCUCCAGCC
rnacentral:lncRNA from 1 species